rnacentral:rRNA from 1 species
CACGGAGUUAGCCGGGCUUCUUCUCCCGCUACCGUCAUCAUCUUCACGGGUGAAAGUGCUUUACAACCCGAAGGCCUUCUUCACACACGCGGCAUUGCUGGAUCAGGGUUUCCCCCAUUGUCCAAUAUUCCCC